rnacentral:tRNA from 1 species
UCCUGGGUGGUGCAAAUGGUUAACAUAGUCAGCUGGUAACUGAAAGGUUAGUGGUUCAAAUCCACCCAGAGGUG